AGGUCUUUUUGUUUCCUGUUAACAAGACACCAAUAAAAAAGUUUAUCUGUUUUUGGUGCAGCAGUUGCUCAGAGUAACAACUACCACCACAGCAGAGGAUGAGUAACUGAAUUCCAACUUUCCAUCUGAGAGAACCCUGAAAAGCAACAAUGGUGCGGCAAAUGCGCCAGAGCAGCCAAAGCCGAAGAUUAAAUCGGCAGAGGAGACUCCGACUCAGGAGAACACCUAGAAGAAAUCGAAGAGGGCCGAGGCGAGUUAGGCGACAAUCUCAUUACCGGAGGAGCUCCACCUCAGUAUAGUCUCAUGGACUUCCUGAUCAUGUAAAACAGCUGCCAUGCCUACAGAACAGCAAGAUGGGAAAUGAUGAGGAUCAUGGCAGAAGCAUGAAACACCAAGCAACUGCAACCAUUCAUG